rfam:Streptomyces sp. 3124.6 genome assembly, chromosome: I
GUCCUGGCCGGGAGCCAGGACAGGGAAAGGAA